AGAGUUUGAUCAUGGCUCAGAUUGAACGCUGGCGGCAGGCCUAACACAUGCAAGUCGAACGGUAACAGGAAGAAGCUUGCUUCUUUGCUGACGAGUGGCGGACGGGUGAGUAAUGUCUGGGAAACUGCCUGAUGGAGGGGGAUAACUACUGGAAACGGUAGCUAAUACCGCAUAACGUCGCAAGACCAAAGAGGGGGACCUUCGGGCCUCUUGCCAUCGGAUGUGCCCAGAUGGGAUUAGCUUGUUGGUGGGGUAACGGCUCACCAAGGCGACGAUCCCUAGCUGGUCUGAGAGGAUGACCAGCCACACUGGAACUGAGACACGGUCCAGACUCCUACGGGAGGCAGCAGGUGGGGAAUAUUGCACAAGUGGGCGCAAGCCUGAUGCAGCCAUGCCGCGUGUAUGAAGAAGGCCUUCGGGUUGUAAAGUACUUUCAGCGGGGAGGAAGGGAGUAAAGUUAAUACCUUUGCUCAUUGACGUUACCCGCAGAAGAAGCACCGGCUAACUCCGUGCCAGCAGCCGCGGUAAUACGGAGGGUGCAAGCGUUAAUCGGAAUUACUGGGCGUAAAGCGCACGCAGGCGGUUUGUUAAGUCAGAUGUGAAAUCCCCGGGCUCAACCUGGGAACUGCAUCUGAUACUGGCAAGCUUGAGUCUCGUAGAGGGGGGUAGAAUUCCAGGUGUAGCGGUGAAAUGCGUAGAGAUCUGGAGGAAUACCGGUGGCGAAGGCGGCCCCCUGGACGAAGACUGACGCUCAGGUGCGAAAGCGUGGGGAGCAAACAGGAUUAGAUACCCUGGUAGUCCACGCCGUAAACGAUGUCGACUUGGAGGUUGUGCCCUUGAGGCGUGGCUUCCGGAGCUAACGCGUUAAGUCGACCGCCUGGGGAGUACGGCCGCAAGGUUAAAACUCAAAUGAAUUGACGGGGGCCCGCACAAGCGGUGGAGCAUGUGGUUUAAUUCGAUGCAACGCGAAGAACCUUACCUGGUCUUGACAUCCACAGAACUUUCCAGAGAUGGAUUGGUGCCUUCGGGAACUGUGAGACAGGUGCUGCAUGGCUGUCGUCAGCUCGUGUUGUGAAAUGUUGGGUUAAGUCCCGCAACGAGCGCAACCCUUAUCCUUUGUUGCCAGCGGUCCGGCCGGGAACUCAAAGGAGACUGCCAGUGAUAAACUGGAGGAAGGUGGGGAUGACGUCAAGUCAUCAUGGCCCUUACGACCAGGGCUACACACGUGCUACAAUGGCGCAUACAAAGAGAAGCGACCUCGCGAGAGCAAGCGGACCUCAUAAAGUGCGUCGUAGUCCGGAUUGGAGUCUGCAACUCGACUCCAUGAAGUCGGAAUCGCUAGUAAUCGUGGAUCAGAAUGCCACGGUGAAUACGUUCCCGGGCCUUGUACACACCGCCCGUCACACCAUGGGAGUGGGUUGCAAAAGAAGUAGGUAGCUUAACCUUCGGGAGGGCGCUUACCACUUUGUGAUUCAUGACUGGGGUGAAGUCGUAACAAGGUAACCGUAGGGGAACCUGCGGUUGGAUCACCU
rnacentral:rRNA from 1 species